GCUAACGAAGAAACACAAUAAAUCUGCGGCGAUUAGUAUUACAGUCUAUAAGCCUAGAAGUAUUUGGAUUAAUUUAAAAUUGGCAACCAACUCUUAAAUGAUUUGAGGAAGAUGUUUUUCCUUAAAGUUUCACCAAUGCAUGAUGGUUCAAGUGAUCAAAUUAUGCGGAGACAAAGAUGAGAAGGGGAUAGCAAAGCCGUGCCAUUCAAGCAUCGUCAGAGUGAAAACUGCAUGCCGGAAAAACAACUCCGGCAAUCAACUGAUGCCCCGCCCCCCCAUCGCCCUCUGCACUUUGCUUUUCCUGCUUUUCCUGCUGUUUUUGCUCGUUUGUUAGCACGCUGGAAAAGCUUCGCUUGAUAAGCAUAAGAAAUGGAGGCGAGGGCAGCCAAAGGAAAAGGAAACUAACAGCUGAUAGGACAAACCGGAGGCGCCACAGCCGUAGCUGAAGUCUGUUGCUCCAGUCAAACCUAAGCCGGAAAUUCGCUGGCUUAUAAAAGGGGCUGCCUACGAGUUGGAGAAAGGCCACCCAUUUGCCCAGUAACACGUACUCCAUUCAUAAGCCAACAUAACACAUUGCCUGGGAACUUAUUUCGGUAGUUUCUCUACUCACCGAAAGUUAAUUUCCGCUUGGGCGACGCACCUGCAACGAAAACGGAAUGGGCGAAAUGUAAUUUAUAAUUAAUAUUAACGCAUUUUCGAUUCAAUAAUAAAUGGGGCUAAUUUAUUUACAGCUCUACCACCGCAGGGCAUCCAUUUUAGUGGAUUGCAGGGGCAGGAGGUGCAUUUCAAGGUACCAGCUUCAUUUUGGCGAGCUGUCGCAGU